UUCCUACGGGGGGCAGCAGUGGGGAAUAUUGGACAAUGGGCGCAAGCCUGAUCCAGCCAUGCCGCGUGAGUGACGAAGGUCUUCGGAUUGUAAAGCUCUUUUGGCGGGGACGAUAAUGACGGUACCCGCAGAAUAAGCCCCGGCUAACUUCGUGCCAGCAGCCGCGGUAAUACGAAGGGGGCUAGCGUUGUUCGGAAUUACUGGGCGUAAAGCGCACGUAGGCGGAUUUGUAAGUCAGGGGUGAAAUCCCGGGGCUCAACCUCGGAACUGCCUUUGAUACUGCAAGUCUUGAGUCCGGAAGAGGUGAGUGGAAUUCCUAGUGUAGAGGUGAAAUUCGUAGAUAUUAGGAAGAACACCAGUGGCGAAGGCGGCUCACUGGUCCGGUACUGACGCUGAGGUGCGAAAGCGUGGGGAGCAAACAGGAUUAGAUACCCGGGUAGUCC
rnacentral:rRNA from 1 species